ACCUGGCUGGCUCAGUCGGUAGAGCGUGUGAUUCCUGAUCACGGGGUCAUGAGUUCAAGCCCCAGGUCGGGUG